GACGAACGCUGGCGGCGUGCUUAACACAUGCAAGUCGAACGGAAAGGCCCUGCUUUUGUGGGGUGCUCGAGUGGCGAACGGGUGAGUAACACGUGAGUAACCUGCCCUUGACUUUGGGAUAACUUCAGGAAACUGGGGCUAAUACCGGAUAGGAGCUCCUGCUGCAUGGUGGGGGUUGGAAAGUUUCGGCGGUUGGGGAUGGACUCGCGGCUUAUCAGCUUGUUGGUGGGGUAGUGGCUUACCAAGGCUUUGACGGGUAGCCGGCCUGAGCGGGUGACCGGCGACAUUGGGACUGAGAGACGGCCCAGACUGCUACGGGAGGCAGCAGUGGGGAAUAUUGCACAAUGGGCGGAAGCGUGAUGCAGCAACGCCGCGUGCGGGAUGACGGCCUUCGGGUUGUAAACCGCUUUCGCCUGUGACGAAGCGUGAGUGACGGUAAUGGGUAAAGAAGCACCGGCUAACUACGUG
rnacentral:rRNA from 1 species